CCCCAACAUCGAGAGUUGGGGUGACGCUCCAACGCCAACCUGCCGUUCCGGGCAAGGUGGUACCCGAUCCGCAAGGCGGCCCCGGCCGAAUUGCGAAAGGGGAUGUGGCCGAUCCGGCAACCAAACGGACACGG
rnacentral:ncRNA from 23 species